GGCCUUGUGGCCUAAUGGAUAAGGCGUCGAACUUCGGAUCUGAAGAUUGCAGGUUCGAGUCCUGCCAGGGUCG
rfam:Angiostrongylus cantonensis strain Taiwan genome assembly, scaffold: ACAC_contig0007597